rnacentral:rRNA from 1 species
AUUGAACGCUGGCGGCAUGCCUUACACAUGCAAGUCGAACGGUAACAGGUCUUCGAAUGCUGACGAGUGGCGAACGGGUGAGUAAUACAUCGGAACGUGCCUAGUAGUGGGGGAUAACUACUCGAAAGAGUGGCUAAUACCGCAUGAGAUCUACGGAUGAAAGCAGGGGAUCGCAAGACCUUGUGCUACUAGAGCGGCCGAUGGCAGAUUAGGUAGUUGGUGGGAUAAAAGCUUACCAAGCCGACGAUCUGUAGCUGGUCUGAGAGGACGAUCAGCCACACUGGGACUGAGACACGGCCCAGACUCCUACGGGAGGCAGCAGUGGGGAAUUUUGGACAAUGGGCGCAAGCCUGAUCCAGCAAUGCCGCGUGCAGGAUGAAGGCCUUCGGGUUGUAAACUGCUUUUGUACGGAACGAAAAGCCCUGGGUUAAUACCCUGGGGUCAUGACGGUACCGUAAGAAUAAACACCGGCUAACUACGUGCCAGCCGCCGCCGUAAAAC